rnacentral:rRNA from 1 species
GACGAACGCUGGCGGCGCGCCUAACACAUGCAAGUCGAACGGAGUUAUUUUUGACAGAAGCCUUCGGGCAGACGUUGAUAUAACUUAGUGGCGAACGGGUGAGUAAACACGUGAGCAACCUGCCCUUCAGAGGGGGACAACAGUUGGAAACGACUGCUAAUACCGCAUAAGACCACGGUGUGGCAUCACACAGAGGUCAAAGGAGAAAUCCGCUGAAGGAUGGGCUCGCGUCCAAUUAGCUAGAUGGUGAGGUAACGGCCCACCAUGGCGACGAUUGGUAGCCGGACUGAGAGGUUGAUCGGCCACAUUGGGACUGAGACACGGCCCAGACUCCUACGGGAGGCAGCAGUGGGGAAUAUUGCACAAUGGAGGAAACUCUGAUGCAGCGACGCCGCGUGAGGGAAGAAGGUCUUCGGAUUGUAAACCUCUGUUGUCAGGGACGAUAAUGACGGUACCUGACGAGGAAAGCCACGGCUAACUACGUGCCAGCAGCC